UACGUAGGGGGCAAGCGUUAUCCGGAUUUACUGGGUGUAAAGGGAGCGUAGACGGCAGCGCAAGUCUGGAGUGAAAUGCCGGGGCCCAACCCCGGUACUGCAUUUGAAACUGUCCGGCUGGAGUGCAGGAGAGGUAAGCGGAAUUCCUAGUGUAGCGGUGAAAUGCGUAGAUAUUAGGAGGAACACCAGUGGCGAAGGCGGCUUACUGGACUGUAACUGACACUGAGGCACGAAAGCGUGGGGAGCAAACAGG
rnacentral:rRNA from 1 species